rnacentral:lncRNA from 1 species
AAAACUCUCCCUCCCCAGUCCGUCCGGCCAGGGGUCCGGGUAUCGACCGGUCGUCGACCGUCGAUCUCCAGCGCCGGCACUGCCGUUUACGGUGGCCAGAAAAGGGAAAAUCCCCUUUUUAUCAUUUUUGACCCCUCUAGGCCCAAAUCUGGGCUAAAAAUUUCCAAAAUUAGCGAAAAAAUAGAAAAACCCCAGAAACCUUUCGGCAUCUAGUCGUCUGUCAUCGGAGACGGUCCUCGGCCUUCCCUUCGGCGUUUCAGAAACCAAAAAGGUAGUUUCCUUCUCUUCUAUUAUUUUUGUUUAUUCGUACGUAAAAUAAAAAAUACAAAAAUAAAUAUAACAACAAAGAAACAAGUAUCAACCUUUUUUUUGACUGAUUUAUUCUCUGAAUUGCGAAAGUACAAGUCCUUUUUAUUUGAUUUUUUUUCGAUCCCUCCUUACAGUAUGUUAAAGGCCUUUUUAUAGCCAUUAAUUAAAAACAAAGAAACAAAUCAUGCUUGAUAUCUUCUUGAUCUGCAAAUCCUUUGAUUUUGUUUCCUUUUCUGUGCUUAUUUCUUGCAGAUGAAAGUGCGGAGAUCCGACUUGUACGGGCUAAGCGGCUGCGGCGCGAGGCUCCCUCAGAAACCCUAGGGUUUCUGAAAUUGCUUUAGGCCUGAGUCUAAUUUUAGGCCUCUGUUUGUUUCAGUUUGGGCCCUUAUGGUCCUGUUUGUAAUUUGGGCCUUUUACUCGGGCCAAAAUCGGGUAUUACAAUAACAUUUGAGGAAAAAAAUAAAAAAAGAGUAAAAAACAAAUUAUAUUAGAUAUUAAUACAUGCCUUCAACUCUACCACUGGUAAAUCCCUUCACUUCUAGUUGAUAUAUAUAUUGUUUAUUUGUGAAUGACAUCUAAGUAAUAAUCGAGGCACUUAAUUGAAGCAAUAUAUAUAUAUUGUGCAAGCAUUACCUAAUAUAAACCAUAAAAAUAUUCUGAUUUAAUAAUUUUUACCAUAAAUGGUAUUCCUAUCAAUUUUAUUGUCGCUUGUAAUAAUUUGUAUUCUUUUUUACCACAUUAAAUUAUCAUAUAGUGAUUCCAAAUAUUUUAUCAUUGAUGUUGAAGUUUUGGAUGUCUUCGUUACUUGGCAUAUGUUUGGUUAUCUUAUUGGUCUCUUGCACACAUUUAUGAAUAAAUUUGGUGAAGGAUUUGAUAUGUUUCAAGUAUGUUUUACAAUCUUCAAAUACUUAUCUAGUGAUAUUUUUAUGCAAAGAGUUAUACGUUAUGAAUUCUUGUGUUUCAGACGUGUUUUCACAUGUCAGAUGUCUGGGGGAAUUUUUUGAUACUAUGUUGGGCAUGUUUAGGUGCAUAUAGAAUACCAAUUUCAUGACUUAAAAUGUUUUAUGUUUUAUUUUUUUCUUUUUCUUUUUUUUUUGUAUGUUUUUGCACUUAUGUCUCAAGACACUAAGAGCAUGUUUCGAGACCAUAAGAACAUUUUCUUUCAUUUCAUGCAAUUUUGGGCGUAAGUCUUGAGACAUACCAAGCAAGUCUCAAGACAUAAAUUCUCAAGUCUCGAGACAUGGUUCCAUUGUCUCGAGACAUAAAAUAUUGAAGCUAAAUUGUUAGAAAUUUAGGCUUAAGUCUUAAGACUUGAGGUUCAGUCUUGAGACAUAGGGGGUCAAGUCUCGAGACAUAGUCCUAUUAACUCAAGACAUCAAACUUCAAAGCAAAAAUAGAGAUUUAAGGGAGGCAUCUCUUAAGACAUGGCUUCACUUUCUUAAGACAAUGUCUCACAUUUUGCCAUUUUAACCCAGGAUUCAUAACUUGGCCUUAUUUUUUUUUGUCUUUGAUCUUGAUUUUUUGCACAAUGUGAUAACACACUAGAAUAACGUAUUUUUAUGUAUUAAUUAUGUAUUUAUUCUGAGUAUGAUCCUGCUAAUUUGAGCUAUUUAUGAUCUUUUAUCUCAUAGGGACUAAAUUUGAGGCAAAAGAAAAAUUACGGGACAAGCGUGAAUUUAGAGAUAAAAUGGGCCAAUGUACGACACAAGAAAAAGUUGGUGCCAAA